AGAGUUUGAUCCUGGCUCAGGAUAAACGCUGGCGGUGUACAUAAGACAUGCAAGUCGAACGGGAGAAGACAGGAAGAUUUAUCUACUUGUUGGACACCGUGGCGGACGGGUGAGUAACACGUAAGCAACCUGCCUAUAAGAGGGGAAUAACAGUGAGAAAUUACUGAUAAUACCGCAUAAGCUGGAGGUAUCGCAUGAUACAUUCAGAAAAGAUUUAUCGCUUAUAGAUGGGCUUGCGUCUGAUUAGCUAGUUGGUGAGAUAACAGCUCACCAAGGCGACGAUCAGUAGCCGGAUUGAGAGGUUGAACGGCCACAUUGGGACUGAGACACGGCCCAGACUCCUACGGGAGGCAGCAGUCGGGAAUAUUGCACAAUGGAGGAAACUCUGAUGCAGUGACACCGCGUAUAGGAAGAAGGUCUUAGGAUUGUAAGCUAUUGUCGUGUGAGAAGAAAAUGACCAUCACAGGAGGAAGCCCUGGCUAAAUAUGUGCCAGCAGCCGCGGUAAUACAUAUGGGGCGAGCGUUAUCCGGAUUUAUUGGGUGUAAAGGGUGCGUAGGCGGGAAAAUAAGUCAGUAUGUGAAAUCCCUCGGCUCAACUGAGGAACUGCAACUGAAACUAUUUUUCUUGAGUGUUGAAGGGGAAAGUGGAAUUCCUAGUGUAGCGGUGAAAUGCGUAGAGAUUAGGAGGAACACCAGUGGCGAAGGCGACUUUCUGGGCAACAACUGACGCUGAGGCACGAAAGUGUGGGGAGCAAACAGGAUUAGAUACCCUGGUAGUCCACACCGUAAACGAUGGAUACUAGGAGUUGGCAAAAAUAUUGUCGGUUCCGCAGUUAACGCAUUAAGUAUCCCACCUGGGGAGUACGACCGCAAGGUUAAAACUCAAAGGAAUUGACGGGGGCCCGCACAAGCAGUGGAGUAUGUGGUUUAAUUCGAAGCAACGCGAAGAACCUUACCAGGGCUUGACAUAUACAGGAAUAUAUAAGAGAUUAUAUAGCUCUACGGAGUCUGUAUACAGGUGGUGCAUGGUUGUCGUCAGCUCGUGUCGUGAGAUGUUGGGUUAAGUCCCGCAACGAGCGCAA
rnacentral:rRNA from 1 species